ensembl:lncRNA
AGAUCGCUGCCUCAUUUCACCUGCACGCGGACUUUUGUGUCGUUCAGGUUGGAGAGUCAACACCGCAAAGUGUUCAACAUUUGUCCUCUUUUUGUCUUAAUUCAUUAUCUCCCCCCCCCCCCCCCCAAGACACAUCCUUUGCUGGUGAAAACAAACGGCACUUUCAAAAAAGGGGAAUGUUUUUCUAAAACCACAAUCACAGGACCGCCAAGUAACAAAUUCUGAAAACACAUACGCUGUACAGAAGAUAUAAAUCUCAUGAGUUUGUACAAGCUUUAGGCUACACGCUGAAAAGGGAGGGAACACGCAAGAACCCUUAAUGCUUAACAUUGAAAACAAAUAUAAGGCAUUUCAUAAUUUCCUUUUAUCCGCAUACAUCACUGACAGCAGGUCUAAAUAUGUUUGAGAAAACAUUUCAUUCAAAAGAGGAAGAGGAUGCAUAUACACAUCUACACAUGCAAAUGAAAAUGUCCGCCGGCUAUAAACCGGAAGCCCAAAACUACAACAGCAUCAAAGUCCAUCAGCGAAAAUAAAAAUAGAAAUUACGCACCUCCUCAAAUCUGUCAGUCAACUUGUGCAGGCAGCUUUUAAAAGUCGGAUAUCACAGUUUUGAGAAUGAAAUACCAAACACUCAAACACUCCCAAAUGCCACCUCUCUGGACACAAACUGAAGGACCACUUGAGAUCCUUCAUGUGCUACAGAUUAGUGACUUCUGGUGUUAACAAAAAGGGCAUAUUUUAAUUUUUUUCUCUUUUUCCCUUCAACUGAGGAAGCGAUAAUAAGCAAAAAGGUUAUUGCACUUUUUAUCUUUUGUCUAUUUCAAAACGAGGUCAGCUUGAGAGAAGAGGAUUCAUGCCUUAAUGUCGUCGGUGAGACCACAAAUGUUACGUCACUUCUACAGUAUGAUCACACAGUUAUUAACACCGCACACAGCUACUAUCGCAAACCCUACUCGUAGUCAGUCUAGCCUAAAUAACACAAAACAAUCUCUACAAUCGAUUUGCAACACAGUCACAACAAACGGUUUGCCUUAACUCGAUCUGCAAUGCACGGACCGCCUCACAACUCCGCAUUGUGAGCUUCCUAAUCGUCGACGAACACCGUGGAGAACAAAUCAGAACGAGGCUCUGAGAUUCCAGACACUGGUCUUUCUACAGUUAAUGUCGUACUGACAAAACUCGUGUUCUCGAGGAGUCCAGUGGGUUUUUUUCCCCUUCGCGGGUUUGCCUAAAAUUUGGUGUAAAGGCGCCUUGAUGUUGGGAGAGCCAGCCGAGCCCCCAGAGGUGCCUUCUUUGGAUUUGUGCUUUCGUACAACCGAUCCCCCAUCCAGUCAAUGCUGGAUGUGCCUGAAAUCGCAACAGUAAUGUGCAUUUUAUUCUGCCCGCCCCCCCCACUCCUCCCCAGACUAAUACAGAAGGCUUUUCUUUUCUUUUUGUUCCUCGGGUCACAUUGGGUUGAAAUAAUCAAGCUCAGAGGGAAAAUGAGCCGUGUCGUGUACUUUCAGUGUAAUUUUUUUUGUUUUAUCCCAUUAUAAGGCUUCUGGGAAAUACAAAUGGAAGACCGUACCUUUCGGUAGUAACGAAUAAAAAGGCACCAUGCCACCACUGUGCUCAAUAUCACACAGGUCCUAUUGGGGGGGUGGGGGGGGAAGAUUAAUAACCAACUGUUCAGGUGGGGAAGGUGGUCAAACUAGCAUUAGUCAAACAGUCAAAUUGUAUCGUUUUGACUUUCAGAGGUAAAGUUUUAUAGCUACUUUCAUUCCCCGCCUUAAAUUAGACUGAAUCCUUUACCCUUUGACUCACGCAAGAUAAUAAGACUCAUCUGUUGGUCGUAAUGAAGAGAAAGAGUUAAAACCGCUUUUCUGUUAAAAAAAAAAAAGGGGGGGGAUGUUCGUAAAUGUUGUGACAUGCAUAUAUUGAAAGGUCUCUCACACACAAACUACAAGAGAGAAAUCGACACCACUGGCAUGAGAAGAAAUCACAGAGGAGAAAUGUCAGCGUCGUCACACAAAAGAUCACUGAUGAGGUAAAACUGCAGGUCCAAUAAAAAGUACAAGGUGCAGUUGGCGGCCUGUUUGUAAGGUAGGAAACAUGAGACAUCUGCCCACACUGAUCCAACGGUUUAAGCAGAAUUACACUACCCACAAACUGAGAGACCACAACAUUUCAACUCUUUGUUAGCAAAGCUGUACAAGCAUUUUUGCAAUAUAAAUUUACUUUCCAUCCAACCUAUUGUUUUUUUGAGGUACACCACUUUUAUCUGCAGGGAAAUUUGGGCUCUGGAUGACACAGAAGCCGAAGUCGAUUGGGGGGUGAAUUCUGAAUUUAUUCAUUCACAGUGGCAAAUAUGGCGAUAUCCUAAGCAACAAAUCUCUGCACCAUGGCAACCUUGAGCGAUGUGCUACCUCAAUAGACGUGUGUGCUUCUAGACACCCAAAAUAAGCCAUGAAUUCUUUGUUUUACAGCAAUCCAAGCAAGCGGUAUAACUCGACAGAUGUUGCAACUUAUCAGGUACUGCCAGGUAUCAUUUCCCUUUUCAGCUUUUAAGGCAAAAGGCUCCAACAGUGGAUCACAGAGUUGAAUGGAAAUUUGCCAUUUACUUCAAGUAAGAACCGAGACAUCCAUUGAGGCAAAUCAAUUCUAUACCAAUAUAUGCUAUGCUUUUUUUUUGGGACAUCAUUUUUUUUUCUCUAGGUAACGAACACACACACACACACACACACACACACACACACACACACACACACACACACACACACACACACACACACACACACACACACACACACACACACACACACACACACACACACACACACACACACACCCACCCCUUGUUUAACGCCCAACCAAGGGAUUGCUUUGCCAAUACCAAAGGGACCAACUUGUAUUCUUCAAAAAUGUCCAAUUAUACAAUAGACUUUAACAAACACCAACGCGUUAACAAAAUACUUGGAUUUAAAUACUAAUAUCCCAUGCACAGAUUUCUUAGACGAAUAUAAUUGGACAUGCAGCUCCAAACACAAAAUGUUAAUAACCCUGCCUACUUCUGAAUUAGUUACUGACCAAGUAAUAAUGAUUUAUGUCUAAAGGCAAAUAAAGGUUUCUAUGGCACUAAAUGGGUGUAGCUUAGGUGCAUUUUUGUCAAAUAUAGGCUAUUAACAAGUAUGUGUGAUCAUAUCUACUGUCGACCUCCCCCCCGUUUUACUGUAAGGCAAUCUCAAUGGAAUGGAUGAACGUGAAUGUUAAAUUCAUCUAAACUCUUGUCUUCAGUUUACCUUGUAGGCUACACUCCACACAAAUAUAUAUAUGUAUGGAGACAGAGAGAUUUUAUACAACAGCAGGCCUAUUCUCCAACAAUGCCACAAAAAGAAAAACUAUCCAGACCAUCAAUGCAGGAAGACGACUCUACAUACUGUAUCAUUUGUAGAGAAUUCAGUUAUUACAUGCUACCUGUAUAGUCAUAUCUACACAAGACAAAUGAAGAGCAACAGUUUAAAGUCGGGAGAAAGCUAAUUAUCCUUCUCUAAACUGACCCGACAUUCAUUUAGUUAGAAAAAGGUAAUGGCUCAGAUUUGAUGGUCAGACUGUAAACUGCUGGAACGUAUGCAUAAACCCAUUGCUGCUUUUCUAAAGAGGUUCUCUCCUCUCGACACAUUUUUGGCAAUUAGGCCUUAUUAGUGAAGAUUAUAACAUCCAACCU